GGGGGGCUGGCGCAACGGUAGCGCGUCAGAUUCCAGUUCUUGCAAUGGGAAUACCUGAAGGUUAUCGGUUCAAAUCCGGUGUCCCUCA